UCUUACUAUUUUCCUAUCUUUGUUUGUAAGAAAGAAAAAUUUUUCUCGUUGGCCUUCUGUUCUCUCCAAGGUCAUUGGAGAGCAUGGUCAUGGACUCCAGCUUUUUAUGUCACUAUCUACUCUCCCGUCGUCUUUUUAUAGGCGUAUUUUUAUGAACAUGCCUUCAAAAAGGAUUUUGUUUUUGAGAAUGAGACAGGAGCCAAGACCCCUGAGCUCCUAAGUCCGUGGGCUUGGGCGUGUCACUUAACACUUUGGAUGGUGGCUUUUCCAUCUGCAGAAAGAGGUAGCUUGACUUUGAGGGUCACGUAGCAAACGCUUCAGCAUGACCUACCUGUCUGAGUGACAGCAAGGACCCAAUUUGUUGUUAUUUCUUCUGGGAGUGACUAAGCAGUUGUGUAUGUGUGUUAUCACUUUGUGAUUUAGAACUCUGAACCCUGUUUCUUUGAAUGUGUAUCACGUUCAAAGCCUGCUGUGGACUUCACAGGUGAGCCACUGUGCUUGUGGCGAGAAGGCUGCUCGUCUGCGGGUUUUUCAUUCAGGAAGCCAUCACGAUCCUGGUGGGGAAAGAGUACACAUACAUUUUUAUCAGGAUACUUUCUCAUAGGCGGUACUGCUCCCUUCUAACAAGAAAGCCGGAUGGUGAGAGUUACCGUUUCUCUGGAGGAGAGAGCGCAGGGGAAAUUGUGUUUUCUGGCCUCAGUCUCUGUGAUUUGGCACUGCUUUCCUGAGAUGGCAGGUCAGUGUUUGUUCUCACGGCAAACAGGCACGUGACCUUAGACAGUGUCAGCGUGAUCUUUAGAUACAGAGUCCCCCCCUUAUCGGAGGGGAUAUGUUGCUGUGGAUGCCUGAAACCGUGGAUAGUACUGAACCCUAUAUAUACUAUGUUUUCUCCUAUGCAUACACAGCUAUGAUCAAGUUUAGUUUAUAAAUGAGGCAAACUAAGAGGUUAACAACAGCUUCUCUCUGGCAUGUCUGAAUCGCCAGCAUCAUGACUCUUGUGCUUUGGGGCCGUUGUUAGGUAAAAUGUGGGUUAUUUGAGCACAAGCCCUGUGCUACCCUGACGGUCCAUCUGAUAACCAACACGGGCUACUAAGUGACUAACGGGCUGAUGGCGUGUACAGUGGGGAUCCACUGCACAGAGGGACGAGCCCUGUCCCGGUGGGAUGGAGUGGAAUGGCGUGUGAUUUCAUCACGCUAUUCAGAAUGAUGCGCAAUUUAAAACUUAUGAAUUGUUUAUCCCUGGAAUUUUCCAUUUAAUAUUUUCAGACUGCGGUUGACCGUGGGUAACUGAAACCGCAGAAAGCGAAACAGCGGAUAAAGGAGGAUGACUGUGCUAGUUUUCUGCUUCCAGACUUUGGAACACUGAGGAUUUUCAUUAAACAACGCUUAACUCUUGGGGAGCCCUCAUGCCAGUGAGUCCCCUGUAGUUUUUCAGGCUGCUUUCCAUGUUGGGUGUGGGUAAGACUUACUCAGGAUGGAUAGUUGAGCUGUGUUCUUGUCUCUUCAUCUCACUGUUUCUAGAAAUAUGCAGAUUACAGGAGAACUUCUUUUAAGUACUUUGAAAAAGAUAUUUUAAAGGUUAUUGGAUACCUAUGUAUUUUUUACAUUUGAGAAUAAUGCUCGUGUUUUGUGGAUAGAGAAAAGCUUAUUAUCUUAAAAGUAAUUUUAGAACUAAAAUCUUUUCUUUAAAAGCUUUUAUAUUUCUAAAAAGUUACAUGGCCUUCUUGUUAAGCGCAGUUAAAUCUUUCUCAGAAACUUUAAAAACUUUUCUGGGUUUUGAUUCAGACCCAAUUUGAAAAUGAAUGAUAAAGCCAGAGCAGCAGCUAACGUAUGCAGUGGUGCUCACAACCCGUUUAGAUUGGCUGAGUGUUUCAAAUACAGUUGUGCAUUUUUUGCCCUGGGUCUCUUUCUUUAAAAAAAAAAAAAGGUUUGAGAUGUUUUUCCCAUUACCAUCUUGACAUCUGCCUGGUUACACAUGAAUAGCCUGACCCAGUCUCUCCGCAGGGAGACUGCCGUGGCCUUGCUUUCAAUAGCCAUGUCACUGACAAAGGAAACAUAUGGAAUAUUUCAUUGCUGUCCUCUGCGAACAGUCUGGGGCUGUGAGGGCAUGCAGCGGAAGGCUUCAUACUUCACGGUUGUCUUCUGUGUUAAAAGAAUUUGCCCUUGGCACCACCCUGGCUGAGGUGGCAUUCCAGAAAGAGAAAAAAAAUCCCUGUGACAUCCAAAGAUGAGAAGAUUCAUGACUUCGGCCAAGGACAUAAUGACAUACAUUUCAUCAGGGUCCCUUCCAGCUCUCAAGUUACCCCAGCCUGAAUUUCUGGUUUCAUUGUCUCCUAGACGUGCAGGCUGGUUUUGACAGGAGUUGGUGUUUUAUUAAAAAGGAAGUGAGCUCCUGUUUAAUCCCAGAUACAGCCAAAUUUUACAUUUAUAUAUAGAUCUCAUCUAGAAGGUAUUCCUGAUGGUUCUUGGUCACAUUACUGAACAUUAGUUGUAAAACAAUGUGCUAAUAGAAAUUAUUGCCUUUCAUGUUUUCUCAUAAGAAUAAUGCCUUUUGCAGUUUUUCUUUUUUUUGUGAGGUAGAUCCGCCCUGAGCUAACAUCUGCCAAUCUUCCUCUUUUUUGCUGAGGAAGACUGGCCCUACAUUCAUGCCCAUCUUCCUCUACUUUGUAUGGGAUGCCGCCACAGCGUGGCUUAACAAGUGGUGCGCGCCCGGGAUCUGAACCGGCGAACCCCGGGCUACCGCAGCAGAGCGCGCGCACUUAACUGCUUGCACCAGCGGGCUGGCCCCUGCAGUUCUUGAUUAUAACAGAUUUCCUUCAAAUUUAUUGGCUCUUGGAAGGUUACAUUUUAAAAAGUUUUGGUUUUAUGAGUCUAUUUGAGGUUCCCUCCCCUCUUCUUUUUAGUGCCUCCGUAUUUUUAUCCUAAAAUAACUACGGAUCUUCCUCGACUUACGAUGGGGUUACUUCCCGAUAGACCCGUCAUAAGUUGCAAAUAUCAUAAGUUGAAAAUGCAUUUAAUGCACCUAACCUACCCAACAUCAGAGCUUAGCCUGGCCUACCUUAAAUGUGCUCGGAACACUUAACAUUAGCCCACAGCUGGGUAAAAUCAUCUAAUACAAAGCCUAUUUUAUAAUAAAGUGUUGAAUAUCUCAUGUGAUGAUUGAAUACUGUAGUGAAAGUGGAAACAGAAUGGUUGGAUGGGUACAGAAGGGUUGUAAAUGUAUUGAUUGUUGACUCUCAUGACUCUGUGGCUGCCUGGGAGCUGUGCUUGCUGCCCUGUCCAGCAUCGUGAGAGCAUCGUACUGCGUAUCGCUAGCCUGGAGAAGAUCAAAAUUCCAAGUACGGUUUCUACUGAAUGCGUUUCGCUUUUGCACCAUCGUCAAGUCGAAAAAUCAUAAGUUGAACCGUCGUAAGUCAGGGACCAUCUGUAGUUUAAUCUUGGAUGUUCUGUCUUCUUUCUUUACUCACCACUUAACUGACCUUCAUAACUGUGAGUUCAUAGGGAAAACUCCGCCAAAUCUAUCAGUCUUUAAAUUCACACUUUUUAGUGUACAAGUCUGCGAGUUUUGAAAUGUAUAUGGUAAUGUAACCGCCACCACUGUCAACGUCUAGUACAUUCCCAUCACUGCCCCUGUGCCCUGGGUAGUCAGCUGCUCUCCCCACCCCUCAUCUCUGGCAACUGAUGAUCUAUUUUCGACCUUGGGUCUCUCAUUUUAUAUUGUUUUGUGUUUAUCAGAAUGUCAUAUAAAUUGAAUGGCACAACGUAGUCUUAUGCCUGGCUUCUUUUAUGUAACAAAGCAUUUGAGAUUCUACCAUGUUGUUGCAUAUGCAAUAUGUGAUAUUCCUUUUUAUUGCUGAGGAGUAUUCCAUUAUGUGGAUGUGCCACACUAUGUUUUUCCAUUCCCCAGUUGAGGGACACUUGCCUUGUUUCCAGUUUUUGGAAAUUACGAAUAAAGCCAAUAUAAAUAUUCACAUAGAGGUUAUCGUAUGAACAUAGGUUUUCAUUGAACUUGUGUAAAUACCUAGGAGUGAGAUCAUGGGUCAUGUGGUAAGUGUAUGUUAAUAAGAAACACUGGUCUAGAUGUUAAUGUCUUAGAGCUGUAGUGAGGUUUAAUAUCACGAAUUACUUAUAGCCUCAAUAUAUUGUUAGCAUGCCACAUACGUAGUCUUAGCAAAAGCUGUUAAAAACUGAUUUUGUUUAAAUGUCUGUACUUUUAAAAGAGUAGACUUCUUAGCCCCCUUUCUGGUACCGGCAGUUAUUGUGAGACCCCCAAGGACUUGGGAAGAAAUGAUCGCAAUGUGGUGCAUUUUGUUUACAGUGAAAAAACUGAAUUAUUAGUGUAUCCACGUUUGGAAAGUCUGAUUAAAAAAAUGGAAAUUUGGUGAGGAAUUGCUGGGCCCACUUUGUGUCCUAGGCAUGUCACGUGUGUUAACUGUGAUUUCUGCAGUGCGCACUCUUGAGUCCAUGGCGCAGUUCCUUGUUCAUCGCUGAGCAGACUGAGAUCGGAACGGAUUCAGUAACCUGCUCCAGCAUCCCGGUUAGGGCUGGGUGUCUGUGAGGCUCAGGUGUUCCGUGUUUGUUUGUCCAUCCUGUAGUUUGCUUGGAUAGCUGACAGUUGAGCAGAAGAGCAAAGGUAAAAUGAGAAAUGAAAUGGUGAGAAGCUAUGGGUUAUUACAGGGGGAAGAAACUCAGAAGUGAAAAUAAAGCAUCUGGAAAAAGCAUACACACGUCUACAUAGGUACGUACAUACAGUGGGAGGCUGACUUGAUUUAGGAGUAACUUGUAUCAGAAAUCUACUUAGUGUGUAAAAUGAAGUUAUCUUUUUUUUAAGUGGUAAGAAUUUUUAUUAGUUUAUUUCAUCUUAUAUUUAACAAGUUUUGGUUAUAAUUACUAUGUGCUAAUGCUUAGAAAUGAACAAAUCAAGUGGGGAUUUGGGCAUAAUUUUUCAAAUAAAAUUGUAUUAAACAGA